rnacentral:rRNA from 1 species
UACGAAGGGGGGCUAGCGUUGUUCGGAUUUACUGGGCGUAAAGCGCACGUAGGCGGCGGGGUAAGUCGGGUGUGAAAUCUCAGAGCUCAACUCUGAAACUGCACUCGAUACUGCUCUGCUUGAGGACUGGAGAGGAGACUGGAAUUCCCAGUGUAGCGGUGAAAUGCGUAGAUAUUGGGAGGAACACCAGUGGCGAAGGCGGCUCACUGGACUGGUACUGACGCUGAUGCGCGAAAGCGUGGGGAGCAAACAGG